rnacentral:rRNA from 1 species
CUUUCCUACGGGAGGCAGCAGUGAGGAAUAUUGGUCAAUGGCCGAGAGGCUGAACCAGCCAAGUCGCGUGAGGGAUGACGGCCCCACGGGUUGUAAACCUCUUUUGUCGGGGAGCAAGACCCGCCACGAGUGGCGGAGCGAGAGUACCCGAAGAAAAAGCAUCGGCUAACUCCGUGCCAGCAGCCGCGGUAAUACGGAGGAUGCGAGCGUUAUCCGGAUUUAUUGGGUUUAAAGGGUGCGCAGGCGGACC